AUACUCACUGAGCAGUGGCGCAAUUUCCUAACCAGAUGAGGAUGACGCAGCGUAAUUUUGCUGACACCCACAGGAAAUAAUUAAAGCGGCUAUAUGUAGCUUUUUGGGGAACACGACCAAAUUCAUAGAAAGGUUUCGCAUACUGAAGAAAUGGAAAUGACAACUGAUCGAAGGAAUUAGUUUGUUCUGGAGCAACACAAUGUAUGUUGGAGGCACUAAAUUAAAAUUUCUCUCGGAGCCACCUCUCUUCUCCUCCUCCCCUUCUCACCUGCACUGGUAUCCUCCCCCAGCGGUCUGGCCCCGACAGCUGCUGCAGGCAGGGGUGGAACUAGGACCCCCAGGCAGGGUGGAGGAGGUCACCUCAGGGAUCUGGGC